CCUACGGUGUGCAGCAGUCGAGAAUCAUUCACAAUGGGGGAAACCCUGAUGCAGCGCCGCCGCGUGAGUGAAGAAGUAAUUCGUUAUGUAAAGCUCUAUCAGCAGGGAAGAAAAUGACGGUACCUGAGUAAGAAGCAUCGGCUAACUCCGUGCUAGCAGCCGCGGUAAUACGGAGGAUGCGAGCGUUAUCCGGAUUCAUUGGGUUUAAAGGGUGCGCAGGCGGGCCUUUAAGCCGGCGGUGGAAUCGCGGUGCUCACCCCCGCCGAGCCGUCGGAACUGGGGGCCUUGAGUGCGGCGGAUGCAUGCGGGAUGCGCGGUGUAGCGGUGAAAUGCAUAGAUAGCGCGCAGAACCCCGAUUGCGAAGGCAGCGUGCCGUGCCGCCACUGACGCUGAGGCACGAAAGCGCGGGGAUCGAACAGGAUUAGAUACCCCAGUAGUC
rnacentral:rRNA from 1 species